UGCGGAGGGAUCAUUACACAAAUAUGAAGGCGGGCUGGAACCUCUCGGGGUUACAGCCUUGCUGAAUUAUUCACCCUUGUCUUUUGCGUACUUCUUGUUUCCUUGGUGGGUUCGCCCACCACUAGGACAAACAUAAACCUUUUGUAAUUGCAAUCAGCGUCAGUAACAAAUUAAUAAUUACAACUUUCAACAACGGAUCUCUUGGUUCUGGCAUCGAUGAAGAACGCAGCGAAAUGCGAUAAGUAGUGUGAAUUGCAGAAUUCAGUGAAUCAUCGAAUCUUUGAACGCACAUUGCGCCCUUUGGUAUUCCAAAGGGCAUGCCUGUUCGAGCGUCAUUUGUACCCUCAAGCUUUGCUUGGUGUUGGGCGUCUUGUCUCUAGCUUUGCUGGAGACUCGCCUUAAAGUAAUUGGCAGCCGGCCUACUGGUUUCGGAGCGCAGCACAAGUCGCACUCUCUAUCAGCAAAGGUCUAGCAUCCAUUAAGCCUUUUUUUCAACUUUUGACCUCGGAUCAGGUAGGGAUACCCGCUGAACUUAAGCAUAUCAAUAAGCGGAGGA
rnacentral:rRNA from 1 species